rnacentral:rRNA from 1 species
UACGUAGGUGGCAAGCGUUUGUCCGGAAUCACUGGGCGUAAAGCGCGCGCAGGCGGCGAUCUACGUCUGGGGUGAAAGCCCGGAGCUCAACUCCGGGACUGCCUUGGAUACGGGAUCGCUUGAGGAUUGGAGAGGCAAGGGGAAUUCCACGUGUAGCGGUGAAAUGCGUAGAUAUGAUGGAGGAACACCUGUGGCGAAGGCGCCUUGCUGGCCAAUUUCUGACGCUGAGGCGCGAAAGCGUGGGAAGCAAACAGG